rnacentral:lncRNA from 1 species
GCAGCGGUAAUCGGUAGACGCUCGAACUGAGGCGAGAUGCGCCGCCAUUUCGCUUGCUCUAGACGACGGCACUCUUUAAUCACACUUUCAACGGUGGUCACGUUGGCUGAUUGAGUGCGUUCGCU